rnacentral:tRNA from 1 species
GUUUAUGAAGUUUAAAAAAUAGUUGAUUUGCAAUCAGAAGAUCCAAUAUUACUUUGGUAUAGACA